UACGGAGGGUGCAAGCGUUAUCCGGAUUCACUGGGUUUAAAGGGUGCGUAGGCGGUUGUUUAAGUCUGUUGUGAAAUCCCCGGGCUCAACCUGGGAAUGGCAAUGGAUACUGGGCAGCUAGAGUGUGUCAGAGGAUGGUGGAAUUCCCGGUGUAGCGGUGAAAUGCGUAGAGAUCGGGAGGAACAUCAGUGGCGAAGGCGGCCAUCUGGGACAACACUGACGCUGAAGCACGAAAGCGUGGGGAGCAAACAGG
rnacentral:rRNA from 1 species